UGGUAGUCCUAGCCCUAAACGAUCAGGACUUGGGGUGGCGCCCGUUCGGGCGUCGUCCCGGAGCUAACGCGUUAAGUCCUGCACCUGGGGAGUACGGUCGCAAGACUGAAACUCAAAGGAAUUGACGGGGGCCCGCACAAGCGGUGGAACAUGUGGUUCAAUUCGACGCUACGCGAGGAACCUUACCUGGGCUCGAAAUGCUUCGGACCAGCUGUAGAAAUACGGCCUUCCCGCAAGGGACCGGAGUAUAGGCGCUGCAUGGCUGUCGUCAGCUCGUGCCGUGAGGUGUUGGGUUAAGUCCCGCAACGAGCGCAACCCUUGCACACAGUUACUACUCGCAAGAGAGGACUCUGUGUGGACUGCUCCGGAUAACGGAGAGGAAGGUGGGGAUGACGUCAAGUCCGCAUGGCCUUUAUGUCCAGGGCUACACACGUGUUACAAUGCAGGGCACAAACCGUUGCCAACCCGCGAGGGGGAGCUAAUCGGAAAAAACUCUGCUCAGUUCGGAUUGCAGUCUGCAACUCGACUGCAUGAAGCCGGAAUCGCUAGUAAUGGCGUAUCAGAUCGACGCCGUGAAUACGUUCCCGGGCCUUGUACUCACCGCCCGUC
rnacentral:rRNA from 1 species